GGUGAGUAACACGUGAGCAACCUGCCCCUGACUCUGGGAUAAGCGCUGGAAACGGCGUCUAAUACUGGAUAUGUGACGUGACCGCAUGGUCUGCGUCUGGAAAGAAUUUCGGUUGGGGAUGGGCUCGCGGCCUAUCAGCUUGUUGGUGAGGUAAUGGCUCACCAAGGCGUCGACGGGUAGCCGGCCUGAGAGGGUGACCGGCCACACUGGGACUGAGACACGGCCCAGACUCCUACGGGAGGCAGCAGUGGGGAAUAUUGCACAAUGGGCGCAAGCCUGAUGCAGCAACGCCGCGUGAGGGAUGACGGCCUUCGGGUUGUAAACCUCUUUUAGCAGGGAAGAAGCGAAAGUGACGGUACCUGCAGAAAAAGCGCCGGCUAACUACGUGCCAGCAGCCGCGGUAAUACGUAGGGCGCAAGCGUUAUCCGGAAUUAUUGGGCGUAAAGAGCUCGUAGGCGGUUUGUCGCGUCUGCUGUGAAAUCCGGAGGCUCAACCUCCGGCCUGCAGUGGGUACGGGCAGACUAGAGUGCGGUAGGGGAGAUUGGAAUUCCUGGUGUAGCGGUGGAAUGCGCAGAUAUCAGGAGGAACACCGAUGGCGAAGGCAGAUCUCUGGGCCGUAACUGACGCUGAGGAGCGAAAGGGUGGGGAGCAAACAGGCUUAGAUACCCUGGUAGUCCACCCCGUAAACGUUGGGAACUAGUUGUGGGGUCCAUUCCACGGAUUCCGUGACG
rnacentral:rRNA from 1 species